ACUUGAUGAUGUGAACAUUUGCGAAGUAGGUUCUUGAAACGCUCCCAGGUCUCAAAGAAAAGUUCCCCAUCCAUUUGUGUGAAACUUGUGAUUGCCCUUCGCAGCU